rnacentral:rRNA from 1 species
UGGGGAAUUGUUCACAAUGGGCGCAAGCCUGAUGACGCAACGCCGCGUGGGGGAUGAAGGUCUUCGGAUCGUAAACCCCUGUCGAAUGGGACGAAUAGCUUCCGGAUCAAUACCCCGGAGGAAUGACGGUCACGUUAAAGGAAGCCACGGCUACCUCUGUGCCAGCAGCCGCGGUAAUACAGAGGUGGCAAGCGUUGUUCGGAAUUUCUGGGCGGAAAGGGGGGGUAGGCGGCCAUGUGAGACAGACGG